UACGUAGGAGGCAAGCGUUGUCCGGAAUUACUGGGCGUAAAGCGCGUGUAGGUGGUGGGACAAGUCUGCUGUGAAAGCGCCUGGCUUAACCGGGCGAGGUCGGCGGAAACUGUCCGACUCGAGGACGGUAGAGGGGGGUGGAAUUCCCGGUGUAGUGGUGAAAUGCGUGGAGAUCGGGAGGAACACCUGUGGCGAAGGCGGCCCCCUGGGCCGGCCCUGACACUGAGACGCGAAGGCGUGGGGAGCGAACGGG
rnacentral:rRNA from 1 species